UACGUAGGGACCAAGCGUUGUUCGGAUUUACUGGGCGUAAAGGGCGCGUAGGCGGCGCAACAAGUCACUUGUGAAAUCUCCGGGCUUAACCCGGAGCGGUCAAGUGAUACUGUCGUGCUAGAGUGCGGAAGGGGCUACUGGAAUUCUCGGUGUAGCGGUGAAAUGCGUAGAUAUCGAGAGGAACACCUGGCGGCGAAGGCGGGUAGCUGGGCCGACACUGACGCUGAUGCGCGAAAGCCCAGGGGAGCGAACGGG
rnacentral:rRNA from 1 species